UACAGAGACUGCAAGCGUUAUUCGGAUUCACUGGCGUAAAGGGCGCGUAGGCGGCCUUCUAAGUCAGACGUGAAAUCCCUCGGCUCAACCGGGGAACUGCGUCUGAGACUGGAAGGCUUGAAUCCGGGAGAGGGAUGUGGAAUUCCAGGUGUAGCGGUGAAAUGCGUAGAUAUCUGGAGGAACACCGGUGGCGAAGGCGGCAUCCUGGACCGGUAUUGACGCUGAGGCGCGAAAGCCAGGGGAGA
rnacentral:rRNA from 1 species